rnacentral:rRNA from 1 species
UUUUAGUCAUAACACGGCAACACCCAAUUAUUAAAAGCUAUAAUCUCUAAAUUUAAAGGAUUUGGCGGUAAUCUAGUCCAGUUAGAGGAACCUGUUAGAGAAACGAUACACCACGCAACAUCUUACCUGUCCUAAAAGUUUGUAUACCGUCAUUCUCAGAUAACUCUAAGAAGAUAAGUUAUCUUCAUAGGUUUUUCCUAAUAUAUUAGAUCAAGGUGCAGCCUAUGGAUAGGACAUAAUGGGUUACAAUAAAAUCUUAUGUUAUCACGGAUAGAAAACAAAAACUGUUUCCUUAAAGGAGGAUUUAAUAGUAAAUCUAGUUUAAUAAGCUAGCUUGAUAUUGGAUCUAGAUUGAGUACAUAUCGCCCGUCGCUUUCAUUUCCAGAUGAAAUAAGUCGUAACAUAG